rnacentral:tRNA from 1 species
GGGCUAUGGCUCAGCGGUGGUUUACACGCGCGCCGAUGACCGAGAGUGUCUACGGCUUGAAUCCGUAUAGUCCUA